rnacentral:rRNA from 1 species
GAUGAACGCUGGCGGCGUGCUUAAUACAUGCAAGUCGAGCGAACAGAGGAGGAGGUAACCUUCGUGAGGAUGGCGUCGUUUGGGUGAGUGACAGGUGGAUUACCGAGUUGGUAGACUGGGAUAACUACGGGAAUCCGAAUUGGAAACGGGUGAUAAUACUGAAUCACACGACUCAAUAGCGUAGUGCGGGUGUGAUGUCUCUUGUAGAUUGAGACGGGCCGGCUUAGGUAGAUGGUAUGGUAGCGGCAUAGCAACGCAACGAUGCGUAGCGGACCUGAGAGGGAGGACGGCCACACUAGAACUGAGGCACGGUCCAGACUCCUACGGGAGGCAGCAGUAGGGACUCUUCCGCAAUGGGCGAGAGCCUGACGGAGCAACGCCGCGUGAGUGAUGAAGGUCUUCGGAUCGUAGAACUAUGUUAUUAGGGAGGAACAAAUGUGUAAGUAACUAGGAACGUAUUGACGGUACCUAAUCAGAAAGCCACGGCUAACUACGUG